UGACAGGUUAGUACAGUGGUGAACCUAUAGGUCUUCAGUGUGUGACAGGUUAGUACAGUGGUGAACCUAUAGGUCUUCAGUGUGUGACAGGUUAGUACAGUGGUGAACCUAUAGGUCUUCAGUAUGUGACAGGUUAGUACAGUGGUGAACCUAUAGGUCUUCAGUGUGUGACAGGUUAGUACAGUGGUGAACCUAUAGGUCUUCAGUAUGUGACAGGUUAGUACAGUGGUGAACCUAUAGGUCUUCAGUGUGACAGGUUAGUACAGUGGUGAACCUAUAGGUCUUCAGUGUGACAGGUUAGUACAGUGGUGAACCUAUAGGUCUUCAGUGUGACAGGUUAGUACAGUGGUGAACCUAUAGGUCUUCAGUGUGUGACAGGUUAGUACAGUGGUGAACCUAUAGGUCUUCAGUGUGUGACAGGUUAGUACAGUGGUGAACCUAUAGGUCUUCAGUGUGUGACAGGUUACUACAGUGGUGAACCUAUAGGUCUUCAGUGUGUGACAGGUUAGUACAGUGGUGAACCUAUAGGUCUUCAGUGUGUGACAGGUUAGUACAGUGGUGAACCUAUAGGUCUUCAGUGUGUGACAGGUUAGUACAGUGGUGAACCUAUAGGCCUUCAGUGUGUGACAGGUUAGUACAGUGGUGAACCUAUAGGUCUUCAGUGUGUGACAGGUUAGUACAGUGGUGAACCUAUAGGCCUUCAGUGUGU
rnacentral:lncRNA from 1 species